rnacentral:rRNA from 1 species
AGAGUUUGAUCAUGGCUCAGGACGAACGCUGGCGGCGUGCCUAAUACAUGCAAGUCGAGCGGACGUUUUAUUGGUGCUUGCACCGAUUUAACGUUAGCGGCGGACGGGUGAGUAACACGUGGGCAACCUGCCCUGUAGAUUGGGAUAACUCCGGGAAACCGGGGCUAAUACCGAAUAAUACUUUUUAACUCAUGUUAGAAAGUUGAAAGAUGGUUUACGCUAUCACUACAGGAUGGGCCCGCGGCGCAUUAGCUAGUUGGUGAGGUAACGGCUCACCAAGGCGACGAUGCGUAGCCGACCUGAGAGGGUGAUCGGCCACACUGGGACUGAGACACGGCCCAGACUCCUACGGGAGGCAGCAGUAGGGAAUCUUCCACAAUGGGCGAAAGCCUGAUGGAGCAACGCCGCGUGAGUGAAGAAGGAUUUCGGUUCGUAAAACUCUGUUGUAAGGGAAGAACAAGUAGCGUAGUAACUGGCGCUACCUUGACGGUACCUUAUUAGAAAGCCACGGCUAACUACGUGCCAGCAGCCGCGGUAAUACGUAGGUGGCAAGCGUUGUCCGGAAUUAUUGGGCGUAAAGCGCGCGCAGGCGGUCCUUUAAGUCUGAUGUGAAAGCCCACGGCUCAACCGUGGAGGGUCAUUGGAAACUGGGGGACUUGAGUGCAGAAGAGGAAAGUGGAAUUCCAAGUGUAGCGGUGAAAUGCGUAGAGAUUUGGAGGAACACCAGUGGCGAAGGCGACUUUCUGGUCUGUAACUGACGCUGAGGCGCGAAAGCGUGGGGAGCAAACAGGAUUAGAUACCCUAGUAGUCC